rnacentral:rRNA from 1 species
CGAACGAUGAAGCCUAGCUUGCUAGGUGGAUUAGUGGCGAACGGGUGAGUAAUACGUGAGUAACCUACCUUUAACUCUGGGAUAAGCCUGGGAAACUGGGUCUAAUACCGGAUACGACCAAUCUCCGCAUGGGGUGUUGGUGGAAAGCGUUAUGUAGUGGUUAUAGAUGGGCUCACGGCCUAUCAGCUUGUUGGUGAGGUAACGGCUCACCAAGGCGACGACGGGUAGCCGGCCUGAGAGGGUGACCGGCCACACUGGGACUGAGACACGGCCCAGACUCCUACGGGAGGCAGCAGUGGGGAAUAUUGCACAAUGGGCGCAAGCCUGAUGCAGCGGCGCCGCGUGAGGGAUGACGGCCUUCGGGUUGUAAACCUCUGUUAGCAGGGAAGAAGAGAAAUUGACGGUACCUGCAGAGAAAGCGCCGGCUAACUACGUGCCAGCAGCCGCGGUAAUACGUAGGGCGCGAGCGUUGUCCGGAAUUAUUGGGCGUAAAGAGCUUGUAGGCGGUUUGUCGCGUCUGCUGUGAAAGGCCGGGGCUUAACCCCGUGUAUUGCAGUGGGUACGGGCAGACUAGAGUGCAGUAGGGGAGACUGGAACUCCUGGUGUAGCGGUGGAAUGCGCAGAUAUCAGGAAGAACACCGAUGGCGAAGGCAGGUCUCUGGGCUGUAACUGACGCUGAGAAGCGAAAGCAUGGGGAGCGA